rnacentral:tRNA from 1 species
GAGGUCGUGGUGAAAUGGAUAACACGUCGGGUUGUGACCCCGAUAUGAGCCAGUUCGAUUCUGGUCGAUCUCCCCA